rnacentral:lncRNA from 1 species
CAAGGGAAGGAUGAACUCAAAGAGAGGUGGCCAGACCACCUGAGACACCUGUUGAAGUGCGCUUUCCCAUUCCCAGACCUGGGAGCUUCUGAGACCAGGUGCAGAAACCAGAUUACACUCAUCUUUCUGACCUAAUUCACAGAGUGGAUAGCAGCCCCCACCUAAGCACAGCCCCCUCACUGGGCAAUAAGUCAGCAACAGCAAUGCUGGCCACACGGGAGGCCCUCAGGUGUCCUCACCCCACCCCUAGGUUUACUGACAGGUACCCUGCAGGGGAGAGGGUGGGGCCCUGAGCUGGACUCCACCCAACACUGCCACCUCCCCAGCCUGUGUCCUCCCUACCACCCGAGGAGCUGAAGGACCCAACAGCACACCCUCAGUGGUUUCUGAAAGGAAGCAAAGUUCUUUCUACCCUUUUUCACUUUGGGUGAAAACAUGUGGCUGGGUUGACAAGUCGGUUUUUUAGAAAGGAAGCACUGACUAGCGAAGGACUCGCCCAGCCAGAAGAGGGCUCUGCAAAGACAGCCCCAUCCCCAGGAUGGGAAUGCUGGAUUCAGACACCACAAACCAAGAGAACCCAGACUCUGGACGUGGAGCAGUACCAGGGUGAAAGACUUUUCCCACCGACAUGGUCACAUAGCCAUUCUCCUUGAAGUACUGGGGGAUGGUGGAGAAGUUUCCAGCGUGCACCCUCCAGUAGGAGUUGAAGUCGUACAGGCGGGUGGUGUCAGGUCUCCUGCCAGUGAGGAAAGAAACGCGGCUCGGGGCGCACACUGCUUGCUGUUAGGGAGCAGAAGCAGAGAGUACCCUCAGUCUCAGCCACCAUGUCUGCCGUUCUCAGUGACCUGGCUGGUCGAGUAACAGACCUUUAUCCCUGAGGAUUGUUUCUGAGCCCAUGGUCCCCGUGCCCUUCUCAGACUGUGGAAAUUGCAUGUGUCCAUUUACCAUAAAAAUUGGGCAGGGAAUUAUUAGGAGACAUUCAAAUGGAUCACCUGGGUGCCAAAUAUAUCCUUCUCUGUUCACAGUGUGUAAGAACAACCCUGCCUCCUCCUGAUGAUCAGAGCCAAUACCCCUGACAGAGUGGCUACUCUUCUUUACACCUGCUUAGUCCCACAGCCAUAGCAGGAGGAAUGAACCCAAGGUUCCCAUGACUUGUAAUUCAGUUAUCAGCCAUGGCUCGUAAUUCAGUGGGGCUCCUACUGUGUCUACUGGUGGAAGCAUUUCCAUUUGAAUAGCCAGGAUCCACUGUUCAAUAAGGUAGCCACUAGCUGCAUGUGCCUACUGAGUACUUGAAAUGUACCUGGUGUGUCUGAAGAACUGAAUUUUAAUUAUCUAAAAUUCAGAUAAAAUAACAACUAAUUUUAUCUUAAUUUAAAUUUAAAUAGAUGAAUUUGGCUAGUGGUGACUGUAUUGUGGGGACAGGAAGCACAAAUUCCCAUGUGGAUCACUAGGAGAGAUAAUAAGUGGGGUCAUUUCACCCCUUGGUCCCCUGCUUCCAGACCCAAAGAGGCCUACAUGGCAUUGUGCUUCCUUCUUAGUUGUAGGAGGUGUGAGAUACAAUCAUUUGCCUCUGACUUUGGAGGGUUGGUCCUAGCAUGCCCCUGACCAGUAGCCCCUUAAAUACUUCAUUGAUAUGGAAGGUCUCUGAAUCUUCGUGGGCUUAAUCUACCACUCUCUGAAGUGCUUAUGUCUUUCAAAGGCCUCUAAAAUCUCUGCCAUGUCUUGCUCAUCCAGUUGUUAGCAUGAUGUCAUUGAUACAGUGGACUUUGGAAUCUAAGUGGGGAGACACUGGUAAGUGACCAAUUACUUCACCUGUGGUGUGCAAGCCAGAUCAGGAAGCCUCUACCAUUGCUUUCCUGUGCUGGGAAAGCUAUUUUUAGUGUGUAGACUUCAUGCCAGAUUUGCCCAGAUCAGGGGCGGGAUGCCCAGAGCUCCUGGUUAUUGGAAGUGCUCUACCUUGAGUACAGAAAUCCACACCAACUCACUCCCUUCUCCAAGGGGACCCUCACCCUGAGGAAUUUAACUGGGCCUUGCUAACAUGCUGGGAGAAUGUCCCUGAGAAAAAGAGCAGUGAAGGCGCACAUGAAUUUCCUGUUGCAUACCCACAGUGGGCCAGAAACAAGACCAUUGGAUUUUUACCUCGUACUUUUGAUGUUUGGCAGCCAUUGAUUCUAGUUCGGGGGUGAAAGAUAGAGAUGACACAUGUAUUGGAACCUUUCUUGGGGACUGCUAGUCUUAGGGACAAACUGCCAAAAUCAAGCUAGGCAAUGGUGGCCACAGCUAUGGGAUGGAGAGUGAGGAAUAGGACAUAUAAGCUGACAGCUGGAGGCCCAGACACUGCCCAUGUUAGUGUGGUUGGGGACAAAAUAAGGAACCAGAGUGGGUGGAACAGGAGCAGUUCAGGGACUCUGCAGAAAUAACCUAUGGCUCCUCAGAGAUCUUACAAGGGAAGCUUCCCUUGAGCACCUAGAUGUCAAAGAGAUUGGCAGAGGCAGGAAGGACAUGUUCCCAAGCAAAAAGUAACAGCAGCUAACUUUGAUUUCAUGGAAGGUGCGAGUCCAGCUGUGAGUCAGAAUAGGGAGACAGGCAGUGAACAGAGGACAGAAUGAUGACCUGCAGUGCUGAGAAACAGGCCUAUCCAUGACUUUGUCCUCAGUCCCUGACCCAGGGGAACACCAAGGAUGCCAUGGGGUGCAGGGAGGGCCAGAAGAGCUAAGUACCCAAUUUCUACAUAAGGGCCCCUGCUCCAGGACAGGGCCGGGAGAAGACAUAUAGAUGAUACCUACCCCCAGUCCUCCAACAAACACAUCUGCCUCAAAACUGACAUAUUCUCAGCUGGUGGAAGCAUCCAGGAAAGAUAACACAUAGCUCCAUGUGCAGCUGUGGUGCCUGUGGGGCACUGGGGGUUAUACCACCGAACAGAGCUUGGACAGUGUCCCCAGCUCCUAUUCUUUUUGAAACUGUGUUAAAAUAUAUAUCAUAUAAAAGUCACCGUCUUAACCAUU